AAAUUGAAGAGUUUGAUCAUGGCUCAGAUUGAACGCUGGCGGCAGGCCUAACACAUGCAAGUCGAACGGUAACAGGAAGCAGCUUGCUGCUUUGCUGACGAGUGGCGGACGGGUGAGUAAUGUCUGGGAAACUGCCUGAUGGAGGGGGAUAACUACUGGAAACGGUGGCUAAUACCGCAUAACGUCGCAAGACCAAAGAGGGGGACCUUCGGGCCUCUUGCCAUCAGAUGUGCCCAGAUGGGAUUAGCUUGUUGGUGAGGUAACGGCUCACCAAGGCGACGAUCCCUAGCUGGUCUGAGAGGAUGACCAGCCACACUGGAACUGAGACACGGCCCAGACUCCUACGGGAGGCAGCAGUGGGGAAUAUUGCACAAUGGGCGCAAGCCUGAUGCAGCCAUGCCGCGUGUAUGAAGAAGGCCUUCGGGUUGUAAAGUACUUUCAGCGGGGAGGAAG
rnacentral:rRNA from 1 species